AAUACAGAUGAAUCCCAAACAACGUUUCCCGACCAGUUCUGUUGUUUCCCGUGUAUCGUAAGAAUCAACGUCAUGGCACCCGGUAAAAAACGUUCUGUGGCUUGGGAUCAUUUCAACUUGAUUUCUCCAAAUACGGUAAUACACUAUUAACGUUAUUUUAUUAGUAGCCAUUGCUGAUUAUGUCAGUUUUAUAGGUAUGUCUGUCAGUUGAAAGGAAUCAUUUUUAUUCUUUCCAUUUUUUUUUAGGUGCAAUGUUUGAUUUGCAAACAUGAAUUUGCAUUUAAUGAUAGUACAUCCUCCAUGAUGCGACAUCUCCGCUCCGUUCAUCAUGUUGAAACUCCGCAGUCGGCAAAUCAAGCCUUCAAUCCACCUCAUAUUGUGUCAAGAAAGCAAGAACUUGAUUCUGCAUUGGUGGAUAUGAUUGUAAUGGAUGCACAACCAUUUUCAAUUGUUGAAGACAAAGGCUUCAAGGCUUUUGUCAACCUUUUGGACCCAUCCUACAUAAUUCCUAAUAGGAAGGCCUUGAGGACAAUGGUGGAGGAGAAGUACAAAGCCAAAAAGGAGAAGGCUUUAGAUGUGGUUAGCAGGGCCUCUGCUGUCAGCCUUACAGCAGACAUGUGGACAUCCAUUAACAUGGACGCUUACUUGGCUGUAACAUGCCAUUUUAUCACCGAGGAGGUAGGUAUCCCCUGCUUUGUGCAAUGCUUUGGUUUAUGUAUCUCAGUUUGACUUUGUUCAUUCUAGGUGGAGCUGGCCUCUGUGGUCUUGGGGGUUCUGAAGUUUCCCCAAACCCACACUGCAGCUCACUUGGCUGAGGCCAAAAAUCUUCUCAUGGAAGAAUGGGGAAUUAAAGGGAAGGUGACAGGCCUGGUUACAGACUGUGCUCCCAACAUGGUUGCAUGUGCUAAUAUAUUACUGCUUCGGCACAUAAUGUGUUUUGCACAUAUGCUUAAUUUGGUGGUGAAAAAGUCCCUUGCCCAAACCCCUGAACUAGAGGAUAUCCGAAGUAAGGGGCGUAAGAUUGUCGGUCUUUUUAAAUCCAGCACCACAGCGAAGGAGAAGCUGUCAGAGAUGCAGCGACAGCUGGCCAGGCCAGAGCACAAAUUAAUACAAGAGGUGGAAACAAGAUGGAA